rnacentral:rRNA from 1 species
UACGUAGGUGGCAAGCGUUAUCCGGAAUUAUUGGGCGUAAAGAGCGCGCAGGUGGUUGAUUAAGUCUGAUGUGAGAGCCCACGGCUUAACCGUGGAGGGUCAUUGGAAACUGGUCGACUUGAGUGCAGAAGAGGGAAGUGGAAUUCCAUGUGUAGCGGUGAAAUGCGUAGAGAUAUGGAGGUACACCAGUGGCGAAGGCGGCUUCCUGGUCUGUAACUGACACUGAGGCGCGAAAGCGUGGGGAGCAAACAGGAUUAGAUA